GACGAACGCUGGCGGCGUGCUUAACACAUGCAAGUCGAACGGACAGGCCCUGCUUUUGUGGGUUGCUCGAGUGGCGAACAGGUGAGUAACACGUGAGUAACCUGCCCUUGACUUUGGGAUAACUCCAGGAAACUGGGGCUCAUACCCCAUAUGAGCUCCUGCUGCGUGUGGGGGGUUGGAAAGAUUCGGCGGUUGGGGCUGGACUCGCGGCUUAUCAGCUUGUUGGUGGAGUAGUGGCUUACGAAGGCUUUGACGGGUAGCCGGCCUGAGAGGGUGACCGGCGUCAUUGGGACUGAGAGACGGACCAGACGCCUACGGGCGGCAGCAGUGGGGAACAUGGCGCAAUGGGCGGAAGCCUGAUGCAGCAACCCCGCGUGCGGGAUAACGGCCUUCGGGUUGUAAACCGCUUUCGCCGGUGACGAAGAGUGAGUGACGGUAAUGGGUAAAGAAGCACCGGCUAACUACGUG
rnacentral:rRNA from 1 species